AUGAAAUGUGCCGUAAACAGGGCCCCGACCGCAAGGCCCAAUGCCUCUCCAGGGUGGCCAGAAGCCACCCGAGCCCCCGCCGGGCCUGCCUCGUGGACAGCACCUGCUGGGCACUCCUACCUCCCAGCCCGGGCAGCCCCAGCCCCCCGUCUCCCAGUUUGUGCGUCCCCUCUGCCCUGGCACCGCACGCGUCCAUCAAGCUGCCUUCUGGUCCCAGAGGCCCUGAACUGCCCAGCACUGAGCUCACACAUCGGCACGGCAGCCUCUCAGCCCGCGUGCGCGGGGUGCUGGCCGGCCACGUCAGGCAGCACGUGGAAGAACGGGGUGGGUACCUCAGCAGCGUGGCUGGGGGCGCACGGGCGGCGUCUGAUGACCGAACUGGGAGGGCUCCGGGGCAGCAGCUGCUGGGGGGCAGGGGGGUGGGCUGCUUCCUCUAACUGCACCCGGAUGCAGGGAGUGGGUGAGCCAGGGCUGUGGCUUCUCCAUGCCCGGGUGAGCAGCAGCCGGCUCUGCCAGCUCUGGGCUCGGGAGCCUCCGGCCGGCCUCGGGGUACAGAGCUCACUGGGGCCUGGGCCAGCCUGGGGAGGCGGUGUGAGGUGGGAGCCGCGAAGGUGGGAGUAGGGGAUUGGCACGCGGUGUGAGACGGGGCAGGUGGCUCUGAAUCAGGCGUGAAGGGCAGGGAUACAGAGGAAUGCCCUCACCCGCGGGACCCUCUGCACGCCUGCGCCCCUGCUCACCCUGCCCCCAGAACGGCACAACACGGGGUCCCGGCCCCACCAGAGUGGCCAGGGUGCCUGCUCUUGCUCUCCGGGGAAGGCGAGUCCUAAAACGGUGCCACCUGGACCAAGGCUGCCUGGGGGCUGGGCCCAGGCCUCCCCCCUCCGAGUUCUUGACCUUCUGCCACAGGACUGUGCAAAGGGGACCAAAAGCAGAGCGCCCCCUUCCCACCCUGGGGGACUCGCUUCGGCCAACACGAUGCCGGCCGGUGUGGCCCACAGAGGGUGCAGGACGCUCGCUGUGCCAGGGUUAGCUUGCAGGAGGGCGAGAGAGCCCCAGGGACCUCUGCCCUUGACGCCCCGCGAGAGCUCACACCCAGCGGGCCUGCGACAUGGGAGCCCAGGCAGAGCCAGAACUGGCCGGCCCGGACAGCUGGCCUCGGCGCCAGGCGCUAGGCAAGCUCACCUGUUGUAGGUCAGGAGUCGUGGGGUGCCCUGUGGCACAGCACGGCUGCGGCGACGCCUAACGGGCACAGCCGGGUCUGGGGUCUGGUGUGGCAGAGGGUCAGGGCAGGACGCGCUGGGUACCAAGGAGCCUCUUCCCAGAAGCCCCCGCCCCAGGACGGACGGGCCUUGGAACGCCUGCCAAGAGCACCCCAGCCCACGGAGCCAGCCGCCGGCAAUCCCACCCCCACCAGGAAGGGGCCCUCGGCCUGCGACCCUGACUCCAGCAGUGCAGGACCGGAGCGCCCACCACAGGUCUCCCCCCACCCCGCCCCGCGUGUCUGCAGGAACAUGUGUCCCGCCCCGCGUGUCUGCAGGAACAUGUGUCCGCCCCAUGUGUCCCAGCAGAAACAUGUGUCCCGCCCCGUGUGUCCCAGCAGGAACAUGUGUCCCGCCCCAUG
ensembl:lncRNA